UGAUAUACAUUACAUUUUCAGUCAAAUGACAUUAAACACUGAGAACCAUUUUGUACAUGGUGACAUUUAGUAUGGUAAAUGAAUGCCUUUUUCUCCCAUACAGCAUAAUCUUGUCCAGAAGUUGCCACCUGAUAACUAGGUGGGAUAAGAUUUCCAAGAUCAAGUUUUGGCCCAAUUUUGACAAUAAUUUUCUGAUCAAUCAUUGCUAUAUAAAGAUCAGAAUCAGAAGCCAAAAUCUGCACAUUGCUUGUUGCACAAAUCCCACUCCUCUUCCUAAUAGAGAUUAGUGCUGAUAUUCCAUCCUUCAAGCCCCAAUCAAAGAAAUGGUCAUAAAACACUAAUGGAAUUCCUGGAUGAGUAAGAAUGUAUGCAUAUCCUUGCAUAACUUUGUCCGAAGGGAAUGGCCACAUAUUUUGUGUCGAUCCAGUA
rnacentral:misc_RNA from 1 species